CCUACGGGAGGCAGCAGUGGGGAAUAUUGCACAAUGGGGGAAACCCUGAUGCAGCGACGCCGCGUGAGUGAAGAAGUAUUUCGGUAUGUAAAGCUCUAUCAGCCGGGAAGAAAAAAGACGGUACCUUACUAAGAAGCCCCGGCUAACUACGUGCCAGCAGCCGCGGUAAUACGUAGGGGGCAAGCGUUAUCCGGAUUUACUGGGUGUAAAGGGAGCGUAUACGGCGCGGCAAGUCUGAAGGGAAAGGUAGGGGCUUAAACCCCGAACUGCCUUGGAAACUGGCAGGCUAGAGUGCUUGAGAGGUAAGUGGAAUUCGUGGUGUAGCGGUGAAAUGCGUAGAUAUUAGGAGGAACACCAGUGGCGAAGGCGGCUUACUGGACAGUAACUGACGUUGAGGCUCGAAAGCGUGGGGAGCAAACAGGAUUAGAUACCCUUGUAGUC
rnacentral:rRNA from 1 species